UGCUUUUAGCAGGACGAUUCCAAUCAUACAUAUGUAUGUAACUUCGCUCUCAAUUUUCUAUAUUCAUUUCACGAAAUCGUACAAGUUUUCAAUACAUAAGAACGUAAGCGUCGAUAAAUACAAAAGUAUUGUUUUGGGUUUUGAUUAAGUAAUUAUUAACCCAUAUUUUAUUCGCUGUAGUAUUAUUAAUUUGUUAAGGACGAUCUAUAAUCAAAUAGAAUAUCAUCAUCCCCCAUCGGAAUCCACAACACUUGGAAACGAAAAGUGAUAAAUAAUCAUGCCUGAUCAAGGAGGAACAGGAGGACUUAUUGCACUUGCAAUAGUUCUCGUCGUCAGUAUUUUUACUGUUAUAUUUACUGGGACACGGGAUGAAAACGCAGGAUAUGAAAAUAAUCAACGAAGACGUCGGGACUAAUUCAAAUUACUAGCCUUAUUCAUUUUGACGAGUCAAUCAAUUUGUCAGACGCCGCCCAAAAUUUUUUCAUCGAUCGGUUACAUACGUAAAUAUGUGGUAUAAGAAGUUGUUAUGGAUUUAUUCAUGAAUUUUUUCUGCUCAAUAAAUUACGUGAAUACGUUUUCCAUUAAAUAAAA